UACGUAGGUGGCAAGCGUUGUCCGGAUUUACUGGGCGUAAAGGGCGCGUAGGCGGCCGCCUAAGUCAGACGUGAAAUCCCUCGGCUCAACCGGGGAACUGCGUCUGAUACUGGAUGGCUUGAAUCCGGGAGAGGGAUGCAGAAUUCCAGGUGUAGCGGUGAAAUGCGUAGAUAUCUGGAGGAAUACCGGUGGCGAAGGCGGCAUCCUGGACCGGCAUUGACGCUGAGGAGCGAAAGCCAGGGGAGCAAACGGG
rnacentral:rRNA from 1 species